rnacentral:lncRNA from 1 species
UGUCUCUUGACUUAAUAUAACAUCAUCUCCUCCUUCUUUGUCCUUGCCUUGAGGGAAAGGAAGACUCUCUCUCUCUUCUCUCAACACACCCCCUUUAUUAUAAAAGACACUUUCAGCUUAUACCUGUAGAGUUCAGGCAGGGCCUGAGCCUCUGUGGAUAAAGUAAAAAGGACAGACUCCAUUUGAAUUAUGUCAUAGUGAAAUUUGGAGCUUCCAAGAGAUGCAGCAGCCCUCAUGAAAAUGCUUAAUGCCUCUGAAGAUGGAAGAAAGAAUUAUUCAACUUUGGGAGAAAAAUGGGAGUUAGAGAAUCUUAUAAAACCUUAAAUCAGAAGGGAAAUGGAAUGCUGUCCAGCAGUCAAGAGCACUAGAAUGAAAAUCAGGAGACAUCGGUUCUACUCUUGAAUCAACCACUGACUUCCAUGAUUUUGGGUUUGCAGAGUACUUUACAUACCUUAUCAUUUUAUCCUCACGACAACCCUCUGAAGUAAGGACAGAGUGCUGGACUGCUGUGAAGAAGAUGUGGAUGUUGUCUUCUGGCCUGGGUGAAACUUUGCUCCUGACUUAUCUAUCCUGUCAUGCCCAUUUUAUAAAUUUGUUUGGGAAACACUGGACUAGAUGAUUUCCAAGGCCCCUUCGAACUCUGACAUUCUUCUUCUUUUUUUAAAAUCUGAAAUGAAGAAAUACUAAAUAAAAUAAGCAUUUCCAUAUCUGCA